rnacentral:rRNA from 1 species
UACGUAGGGUGCAAGCGUUUAAUCGGAAUUACUGGGCGUAAAGCGUGCGCAGGCGGUUUUGUAAGUCUGUCGUGAAAGCCCCGGGCUCAACCUGGGAAUUGCGAUGGAGACUGCAAGGCUUGAAUCUGGCAGAGGGGGGUAGAAUUCCACGUGUAGCAGUGAAAUGCGUAGAGAUGUGGAGGAACACCGAUGGGCGAAGGCAGCCCCCUGGGUCAAGAUUGACGCUCAUGCACGAAAGCGUGGGGGAGCAAACAGG